rnacentral:misc_RNA from 1 species
GAUGAAGAACGUAGCAAAAUGCGAUACUUGGUGUGAAUUGCAGAAUCCCGUGAACCAUCGAGUUUUUGAACGCAAGUUGCGCCCGAAGCCUUUUGGCCGAGGGCACGUCUGCCUGGGCGUCACGCAUCGCGUCGCCCCCCACAAUUCUCCGUAAAGGGAACGUGUGUUUUGGGGGCGGAUAUUGGUCUCCCGCGCUCAUGGCGUGGUUGGCCGAAAUAGGAGUCCUUUCGAUGGACGCACGAACUAGUGGUGGUCGUAAAAACCCUCGUCUUUUGUUUCGUGCUGUUGCUCGCAAGGUAAACUCUUUAAAAACCCCAAUGUGUCGUCUCUUGACGACGCUUCGACCGCGACCCCAGGUCAGGCGGGACUACCCGCUGAGUUUAAGCAUAUCAAUAAGCGGAGGA